GUGCUAGUCGCGAGGGAGAAAAUAGCGCUUCCCGUUCGCUCAGCGGUACUCAAGCGGUGUACCGGCGGAUUAGUAGUCAGGUGGGUGACCACUGGCGAAUCCCCGCUGUUGUAUGUU
rnacentral:rRNA from 1 species